UUCUGAGUCACCUGCAAAAAACAUGAACUACUCACUACUGUUCCUCCUCAUAGUUGCCGUGGUGCUGGCCCUAGCAGUCGCCUCACCACAGGAACAGCGUCCUGAGGAUUAUGGCGACGAUGAAUAUUAGGCUGCUGGAAGCCUAACUGCGUUGAUAGAUGGUGCAAAAGUCUAAACAAACCAAGACUUAAGUAAGCAGUACUUCGAUCGUUAAAUACAACAUAAACUACACAGUAGAAAAUAUUGUACCUAUAUAAUUUUUCAUUACUUUCGUAAUCAACUGUUAUGGUUAUACUGUA